rnacentral:lncRNA from 1 species
ACCAUCAUGCUUUUUAGAGGCCUCUGCUCUGCCAGCCUGGGAGUCAUCUUCACCCUCAGGCUGGUAGACUCCAGUCUCUUAGGUCAGAAUGGGAUUAGAGACCCGUUCCUGAACCAGUCACACACAGCGGGUGAAACUGCUAUGAUUGGUUUAGACUUAGAGACUGGAAUGGAUGCUGUCCCCAGAUAGCAGAUGACUGGUAGGAAGAUGAGGCAAGUUUGCGGUCCAUUGUCAUGGAUAGUGGAGACAACACUGGGCCAGAAGUGGUAAGACCUGAAUCCAAGACUCAGCUCUGCCACUUGCUAAAUGGGACUUUGAAUAAACCAUUUCUCUGCACUUAAGUUCCUUACCAACAAAACGAGGGAAGUGGCCUACAUGCCUAGAUAUCAACAUUUCAUGUCACGUAGAGAUCUAGCAUCACAAGAAUCCAAGUCAUCCUCUGUUGCCUUUAAGAAAUUAGAAUUAAAGGAAUCAGAAUUGAAGUGAAUCUGACUACACUAAGCCUAUCACUUGUGACAGCCAUGGGAAGAUAUCAUUGGUUGCUGAGGAGCAGAAAUAAGCAGAGACCUAUUGUGUUAGGUUAUCAUUCAUUUCAGUAACAGAAAUAAUCUAUUCAGAGUCAUGGAAAAAACAGAGUGGGCUGUUGGAAUUGGAAAGAAACAAACAAAAAGCAGAUCAGCAAGUUUUCAUAUUGCACUAUUUUCAAUGGCUGGAGCAUCAACAUUUUACAACAAGAAAAAAAUUAAAAUUCUUCAACAUUUGGAAAAGAAGUGUUUGUAAAACUUUUCACAUCCAUUCACCAUCCGGAAAAGCAAGGUUUUACAGUGAGGCCUGAUGAUGUCUAGAGUCACCAUGCAUCUUGGAAAAUGACCUCCUAUUUAUUUCUUCUACAGGACACCAUGGUGUUCACCUUUCUACAACUUUACACUUGCUGAGGACAUAUUGUGGAAAAUUAAGAGAAAUAUAUAUGGAUGGCCAAGGCU